GCUGCCCCUCCCAAAGCUCCCAUCCGUGUCAGGAAUUUGACCAUCAGAGCAGGAGCCCUCACUGGGAAGGAGAACAACAUGCUGCAGCCCGAGACCCACAUCUUCACAGCCCCCGAGGAGGGGAGCUCCCAAGGGGCUCUGCUGCUUGGCCAGGCCCCAGAACCUUUGUCUCUGCCCUGUACUCCAGUGACCUUGGAGCAGCAACUGGUUUCUCCUUCUGGGGAUCCCCACAGGGCCCCUGCCCUGCCCAGCAUGUCCCCAAAGUCUCUGACCAGGCUUUGGUUUCUGCCCACUCAGAGUGGCAGCGGAAGCUGGAGGCCGCUGAGGCUCUGCUGACUCUGAGAAACUCUGCCCAGGCCCCUCCUGACUCCAUCUCCCUGCACCAGCCUUGCAACCCACCAGCUCCUGCUGGAGAUAAAGGAUUCCAGCCUCCCAGCCCCUCUCUCCGCCCCAGGCCAGCCAGCUCCAUCUCGCUGCCUAUUGGACAUCUGGGAUGCAUCUCCCUCUUGAGCUAGGAACCCAGAGGAGGAGGCCUCAAUAGAGCACUGCCUAUUUGGUAUCCAGUUUCUGAAUGUGCAAAAUGGUUAACGUCCAAAACGCUUAACGUCUUUUU
rnacentral:lncRNA from 1 species